GGAAAUUUGAUAGUUUCUAGCAGCUUCUAUUUAUCCUCCUUCUUCAUGCUCUCUCUUCAGAUAACCAAAGUUUUCAUUAAGCCUAAUUCCAAAAGGAAGAAAGAACCUCUGGCAAAAGAAGCCACACAAAGCUGUUGUUGACUUAAUUCAUUUAUUUAUUUGUUGCUUCUCCCUCGUCUGCCCACCUUUCAUGCCUAACUCAUCAUUGAGCCCUAGAAUAAUAACUUGUAGAUAGUGUGCAUUAUAUAUUCGGUGAAGAUAAUGAAAGAAUUUUAAAACACGAUUGCUGAUUAGGGUAAUUCCUAAGUUACAGGAAUAACAGUCUAAUGGUAAAAUGUUUAGCACCUUGGCAGUUUGGGAUAAAAAUCAUUUCGGCCCUGUUCAAAUAGCUCAACAGAACCGCCUGCCCACUGUAACCUUAACAAAAUCCAUCCUUUCCCAAAUAUAUAUUCCAAGUUUUAAAAAUUGAGCCUAAAAUUGUAAGGGUAUGUACACAUUGGGAAAUGAAAUUGUCAUUAACACAAAUGUGACUUCUGGUGGGUGUUCUAGAUCUAUCAGCUGAUAAUUGAUGAUGAGAAUUUUGUCUUCUAAAUAAGGAGGAUUCUUAUUCUGUCCUGGGAAGCCACUUUAAAGUGUUUUACCUGGUAUGUUUGAGGUAAUAUUUAAAGAUUUUGCCCUCUGGCUUCAAAAUUCCUCUCUUGAUAACAAUAAUUAACUUGAAUUAAGGUUUAUGCGAAAUGCAAUAAAAAUAACUCAAUAUUUUAAUUAUUGGCAAACCAAUUUUCAUUUUCUUGAAGUAGAAAUAAUGAAAAAAUAGAUUCCAACACUCCACUACUUCCCAUGAUUUUAUUAUUUUAGAUGCGAGGAUAAUGUUUUAAAAUAUUAUCCAAAUGUGUUUUCCCUCUUUGAUGGGUAGUUAACUAAAGGAGGAGGAAGAGGAAGAGGAGGAGGAGAAGAAGAAAAGAAGAAGCACCUGCUGUUCUUCUGCCAUUAAGAUUAUGCAAUAAGAUGAAGGCCUACUGUCUUGGGAGGAGGAGCCCCCCAAGUGUUCUUUCUGCCCAUCCGCCCACUCCCUCGGACUUCAGCAUGGGCUGGACCUGGACCCCUGGAUCUGACACCGGGCAACAUGGAUCACCACCUCAAUAAAUAAUUUGCACUGGAAUCCUUUCCCCAGAGUCUGCUUCUGGGGGAACUCAGACUAUCAGGGAAGAAUAUGAGUGGAAGAAUGGCCCAAGAUAGAGCCAUGUAAGACGUGCCUGCUUCCCCUUGCUUUCUGCCAUGAUUAUAAGUUUCUUCAGACCUCUCCAGCCAUGCUUCCUGUACAGCCUGUAGAACUGUGUCAGUUAAACCUCUUUUCUUCAUAAAUUACCCAGUCUUGGGUAGUUCUUUAUGGAAAUGUGAGGAUGGACUGAUACAAAGUGUCAGUGCUAAGAUCAGUGUAACUUUGGAAGCAAGGAAAAAAAAAAUAGAGCAUCUGAACAAAAUAUGAAAUACACAAUUAAUCUUGAUAAAUCAAGCCUCAAAGGAAAAUAGGAGAAUGAUCAUAAGUGGAGCUAGAAACCUAGAAGCUACAUUUCCUAGAAGACCUUGCCAUCAGGCUGCCAGGAAACAGUCCACCAAUGAGAAGCCCCCUUGCAAGAUUUGGAAGGCAGAAGAGAGGCAGAAUCCAUUGUAAUAGCAACAGGAAGUGUUUCAAGGGAAUACCUAUACACAAAGCCACAUUCAAGGUUCCUGAACUGGAAGAACUUGGACUUUACAGUUGCAAAAAGUAAGCUAUGAAGGCUUUGGACAUCAUAAACCACACGUAUGGAAGAAUGCAUGCUUCCUCAUUCAAGAUGGCAUACAACCAUGGGCUGUGAACUUCCUCCCGUGAGCCAGCAAAACUAAAGGAAAGAGGGAUUUGGGGACUCUCAGAGCUCAGCAACUAACAUUAAACUUCGGAGAACCUCUUGGAAAGCCUGACGAUGGUGGCCUUCUGGUGUGGGAGAGAGAGGAGUGAGUAACAUCUUUCUGUGACCCUUCAGUCGGCUAUGUGUAUGAGCUCUUUCCACCUGUUUUAAGGCUCUCUGAAGUUUAUCCUUUAUUUUUCUCUGAAGGUGUUGUUCUGUACUGUAACUUUAUUUGUAAGUGCAGUUUAAGUGUAGGAUAGCCAUGAGCUCCAAAAAGUUUUCUGCUUCAUUGUGAACCACAUGACUCUCCAAUGAUUUCCCAAAAAUGACAACCUCACCCUCCUCCACUCCUCACCACCCAAUUUCAAAUCUGCUCUUCUUCCUUCACGAGAUAUUGUAACAUUGCCUUUUAUGUACAAACUAUAUUUAUUUACUUUCAAAUUGUAGCCCUUCACCUAUGUAAACUUGCUAUAUUUUUCUAUCUGUGAAAUGGUUUAAGUAACUUAGCUUGGGA